GACGAACGCUGGCGGCGUGCCUAAUACAUGCAAGUAGAACGCACAGUUUAUACCGUAGCUUGCUACACCAUAGACUGUGAGUUGCGAACGGGUGGGUAACGCGUAGGUAACCUGCCUGGUAGCGGGGGAUAACUAUUGGAAACGAUAGCUAAUACCGCAUAAUAUUGAUUAUUGCAUGAUAAUUGAUUGAAAGAUGCUAUUGCAUCACUACCAGAUGGACCUGCGUUGUAUUAGCUAGUAGGUGAGGUAACGGCUCACCUAGGCGACGAUACAUAGCCGACCUGAGAGGGUGAUCGGCCACACUGGGACUGAGACACGGCCCAGACUCCUACGGGAGGCAGCAGUAGGGAAUCUUCGGCAAUGGACGAAAGUCUGACCGAGCAACGCCGCGUGAGUGAAGAAUGUUGUCGGAUCGUAAAGCUCUGUUGUAAGAGAAGAACGGGUGUGAGAGUGGAAAGUUCACACUGUGACGGUAGCUGACCAGAAAGGGACGGCUAACUACGUG
rnacentral:rRNA from 1 species